rnacentral:lncRNA from 1 species
AUUUGAUCUGGUCUAGUUACUACUAGCACCUUAGCUAUGGGAGUCAAUCUGCCUGCACAUCUGGUGGUUAUAAAAUCCACAAUGCACUAUGUUGGAGGAGUGUUUGAAGAGUACAGUGAAACUGAUAUUCUGCAAAUGAUUGGGAGAGCAGGAAGGCCUCAAUUUGACACAACAGCUACAGCAGUAAUUAUGACUCGCUUGAGUACAAGGGAGAAGUAUAUACAGAUGUUAAAUGGUGCAGAUAUAAUAGAGAGCAGCUUGCACAGACAUCUUGUGGAGCAUUUAAAUGCAGAAAUAGCGUUACAUACUGUCACAGAUGUCACUGUAGCUUUGGAAUGGAUACGAUCAACGUUCUUGUACAUUAGAG